CUGUUGUUCAGACUAAUGCACCUCCCAGCCCCACCUUCGUCGCUGCCGCUGCUACGCCGUUCCUAAUUCCCCCCACCGCCGCGCCUGCUGCAGUUGCUAUUUCCCGCCGCCGCCGUGCCUGUUGUUCAGACUAAUGCACCUCCCAGCCCCUUCACCGUCGCUGCCGCUGCUACUCCGUUGCUAAUUCCCGCCGCCGCCGCGCCUGCUGCUGUUGCUAUUUCCCGCCGCCGCCGCGCCUGUUGUUCAGGCUAAUGCACCCCCCAGCCCCACCUUCGUCGCUGCCGCUGCUACUCCGUUGCUUAUUCCCGCCGCUGCCAAUGCUGCUGCGUUGCUAAUUCCCGCCGCCGUCACGCCUGCCGUUUAGGCUACUGCACCUCCCAGCCCCAACGCCGUCGCUCCUGCUGCUGCUGCGUUGCUAUUUCCC
rnacentral:lncRNA from 1 species